CCGAUCUUGUUUGUGCACCUUGGUGUGGCGGGUUACCUAGAAACCAGGCCAGAACCCGCUCCCUCUCUUCCAGAGAUUCUGUAACCUCACAAAAGUGUCCCCAUAAACAGAUUGCUUGUCACCAGGGGGCGGGGGUGUGUGCGGGCUGGAACCCAGUUUGGACUUGAUCCAAGUUGACCUGCAAAGCCUGGGUUCCUGCUUUCAAAGGCUUCUUUGCUGGGCUCUACACCCACCUGCCCUGCAGUCAGGUUUAGGCAGACAAGAAACCGCCUCUGGACGAGAAAGUCCUGGGGCUGCGGCUCAGCAUUUUCCAUUUUCUCAGAGGUGGGGUGGGCCGCGUUCAGGUCUAGAAGUGAUGUCACAACCAGCCCUGUAAAGUGAUGUAACCUACACUUGAAGGACUAGGACCCGGCUACUAUUUUGAGACUCUUGAGUUCCUUCCUUCCUCCCUGGAGACAAGUGGAUGACUAUGGAGAACUCACAAAGCCGCUCAGGAUUUGGAGGUGGUUAGCUCUGGCUACCGUGAAUCAUGUUUUACGUCAGUAAGGAGUAUACCCCGUCCGUCGUUCAUUCUUUAAGCAUGCCAUGGAGACAGGAUGGUCAGUCAAAGUAAUGGUUAUGCAUGUCAGGAAGCAAAUGAACAUGGGAUGGAAGAGGAGGAGGCCCUACCUCAAGCAUCAUUCCCGGCAUCUCCAGGACAAACUUCCUGCUCAAGUAGCACGAUGUGGAGAUUCUUGGCAGUUCCACCAGGCAACCCUCUCAACACUGAAUCUCCAACACCUGGCUGCAAAGGACUGUUUGAUGAGCAUCUCAUGAGUGGGACCAACGGGUUGGCUGAGUUCCCCAGACUUUAUCAUGUUGACCCUGGAUCUUUAGCUGUCACCCAAAGCAUCUUUCUUUCUUUUUUUCCAUUUUACCAUUAUAACAUCUUUGCUACUUCAUUUUUUUACAGCUUUCCAUAAAGAAUUAAGGUUUGCAAAUAUAUAAAUAUGUAUAAAUGCAUAUGUAAUAUUCAACAGUAUAAAAAAUAAUCACGGC
rnacentral:lncRNA from 1 species